UUUCUUUCUUUGUCUCUGCUUUUUCUUGAAUGUAUUACUAUUCGAUUACAAAAUUCUAGGGUUUUACUCUUGUUUUGUGCACUUGAUUUGGCUAAUGUUCAGUUUCCUUUCAUCUUCAUCCUUUUAGGGCUUCGUUCUUCAUCGAGAAGGGUUCUACAUUUCUUAGAAAGGGGUUUUUGGUCUAGAUUUUCACUCGAGAUUCAGAAAAGGCACAGAGAACGGUUCGAUGGGAGCAACUCUGCAGGAGCUCAGCCUCAAUCUCUCUGAAUCGUCUCAUCGCAUUGUACGUAGAGAGAGCGAGAGAGAUUCGAAGGGAGGAGCAAAACAGAGAUACACUAAGUGAAGAAGGGUAUUUACCUGGUACACUGCUUCAUUUGAUCAAAAGCAUCACUGGGAGCAAAUGAAAAAGAUUUUACACUGGUGUUAGCUGUCUGGGGCAAAGUUGUUUCUUAUAAUGUCAAGUCCAAGGCAUUGAAGGAGUUUCAUCAUUUAUCCACAGAUGAUCUUGAUGAUUGGGUAGCAAGUUGGUGUAACAAUACUUAUCAAUUCAUUGAAAGCCUAUCACCUGUUUGAUCAUUAUCCUACAUGUUUCUACUUCUUUCUUCAGCAGAUGGUACAUGCGAUGGCAAUGGUUUUAGCUACUCAAGAAGCUCAGAAGGAUAACCUUAGAAGUUUUAAUGAUUAUAUGAUGACAGUUUUGGAGGUUUCUGAAGUGCGAUGUGAUACCAAAAAUUACGGUGAAGAACUGGUUGGUUGCAAGAUAAAAGUUUGGUGGCCAUUGGACAAUGUGUUUUAGGAUGGCACUAUUUAUUCAUUUGACUAUACAGAAAAGGAGCACAGGAUUUUGUAUGCCGAUGGUGAUGAAGAAAAAUUAAUAAGAUCAUCAUUAAAUGUGGGUUUUGAUGCUGAAAUACUGGGUGGGAUUACACUAUAUGGCUGCUAUAUAUCCAACACAUUGUGUGUGGAGUGUUGGAAGGUUUUGUGGGUUGAGUGUGGUGAGCCCUACAUAUUCUGGUUUGAGAGAGUGUUAGCUUCCAAAAAAAAAAAA